UACGGAGGGUGCAAGCGUUAUCCGGAUUCACUGGGUUUAAAGGGUGCGUAGGUGGAUUGGUAAGUCAGUGGUGAAAUCUCCGGGCUUAACACGGAAACUGCCAUUGAUACUAUGUUUCUUGAAUUUUCUGGAGGUUAGCGGAAUAUGUCAUGUAGCGGUGAAAUGCUUAGAUAUGACAUAGAACACCGAUUGCGAAGGCAGCUAACUACAGGGAUAUUGACACUGAGGCACGAAAGCGUGGGAAUCAAACAGG
rnacentral:rRNA from 1 species